UACGUAGGGCGCAAGCGUUAUCCGGAAUUAUUGGACGUAAAGAGCUCGUAGGCGGUUUGUCGCGUCUGCCGUGAAAGUCCGGGGCUCAACUCCGGAUCUGCGGUGGGUACGGGCAGACUAGAGUGAUGUAGGGGAGACUGGAAUUCCUGGUGUAGCGGUGAAAUGCGCAGAUAUCAGGAGGAACACCGAUGGCGAAGGCAGGUCUCUGGGCAGUAACUGACGCUGAGGAGCGAAAGCGUGGGGAGCGAACAGG
rnacentral:rRNA from 1 species